rnacentral:rRNA from 1 species
GAUGAACGCUGGCGGCGCAUUUAAGACAUGCAAGUCGAACGAAAAUUUACGCUUAAAGAGUUAAUUAGUUUACUAAGAGACAAUUUAUUGUAAAUUUUAGUGGCGGACUGGUGAGUAAUACAUAGGUAAUCUGCCUUUUAGAGGGGAAUAACUAGGAGAAAUCCUAGCUAAUACCGCGUAAGACCACACUUAGGCAUCUAAGAGAGGUCAAAGGAGAAAUCCGCUAAAAGAUGAGCCUGUGGCUGAUUAGUUAGUUGGUGGGUAAGAGCCUACCAAGACGAUGAUCAGUAGCCGAGCUGAGAGGCUGGCCGGCCACAUUGGGACUGAGAUACGGCCCAGACUCCUACGGGAGGCAGCAGUGGGGAAUAUUGGGCAAUGGACGCAAGUCUGACCCAGCAACGCCGCGUGAAGGAAGAAGGCUUUCGGGUUGUAAACUUCUUUGACAGGGGAAGAGCAGAAGACGGUACCCUGGAAACAAGCCACGGCUAACUACGUGCCAGCAGCCGCGGU